rnacentral:rRNA from 1 species
AGUGAACGCUGGCGGUAGGCCUAACACAUGCAAGUCGAACGGCAGCACAGUAAGAGCUUGCUCUUACGGGUGGCGAGUGGCGGACGGGUGAGGAAUACAUCGGAAUCUACUUUUUCGUGGGGGAUAACGUAGGGAAACUUACGCUAAUACCGCAUACGACCUACGGGUGAAAGCAGGGGAUCUUCGGACCUUGCGCGAUUGAAUGAGCCGAUGUCGGAUUAGCUAGUUGGCGGGGUAAAGGCCCACCAAGGCGACGAUCCGUAGCUGGUCUGAGAGGAUGAACAGCCACACUGGAACUGAGAAACGGUCCAGACCCCUAGGGGGGGCAGCAGGGGGGAAUAUUGGACAAGGGGCGCAAGCCUGAUCCAGCCAUACCGGGGGGGGGAAGAAGGCCUUCGGGUUGUAAAGCCCUUUUGUGGGGAAAAAAAAGCAGCAGGUUAAUACCCCGCUGUUCUGACGGUACCCAAAAAAUAAGCACCGGCUAACUUCGU